rnacentral:rRNA from 1 species
AAGCGCGCGUAGGUGGUUUGUUAAGUUGGAUGCGAAAUCCCCGGGCUCAACCUGGGAACUGCAUCCAAAACUGGCAAGCUAGAGUAUGGUAGAGGGUGUUGGAAUUUCCUGUGUAGCGGUGAAAUGCGUAGAUAUAGGAAGGAACACCAGUGGCGAAGGCGACCACCUGGACUGAUACUGACACUGAGGUGCGAAAGCGUGGGGAGCAAACAGGAUUAGAUUACCCUAGU